rnacentral:rRNA from 1 species
CCUACGGGUGGCAGCAGUGGGGAAUAUUGCGCAAUGGGGGAAACCCUGACGCAGCAACGCCGCGUGAGUGAGGAAGUAUCUCGGUAUGUAAGCUCUAUCAUCCGGGGAGAAAGAGGACGGUACCCGACUAAGACGCCCCGGCCAACUCCGUUCCAGCCGCCGCGGUCAUACGUAGGGGGCGAGCGUUAUCCGGAUUUACUGGGGGUAAAGGGAGCGUAGACGGCGUCGCAAGGCUGAAGUGAAAGCCCGUGGCUCAACCGCGGAACCGCUUUGGAAACUGCGAGGCUGGAGUGCUGGAGAGGUAAGCGGAAUUCGUGGUGUAGCGGUGAAAUGCGUAGAUAUCAGGAGGAACACCGGUGGCGAAGGCGGCUUACUGGACAGUGACUGACGUUGAGGCUCGAAAGCGUGGGGAGCGAACAGGAUUAGAUACCCCAGUAGUC